rnacentral:rRNA from 1 species
GACGAACGCUGGCGGCGUGCCUAAUACAUGCAAGUAGAACGCUGAAGGAGGAGCUUGCUUCUCCGGAUGAGUUGCGAACGGGUGAGUAACGCGUAGGUAACCUGCCUGGUAGCGGGGGAUAACUAUUGGAAACGAUAGCUAAUACCGCAUAAGAGUAGAUGUUGCAUGACAUUUGCUUAAAAGGUGCAAUUGCAUCACUACCAGAUGGACCUGCGUUGUAUUAGCUAGUUGGUGAGGUAACGGCUCACCAAGGAGACGAUACAUAGCCGAACUGAGAGGGUGAUCGGCCACACUGGGACUGAGACACGGCCCAGACUCCUACGGGAGGCAGCAGUAGGGAAUCUUCGGCAAUGGACGGAAGUCUGACCGAGCAACGCCGCGUGAGUGAAGAAGGUUUUCGGAUCGUAAAGCUCUGUUGUAAGAGAAGAACGAGUGUGAGAGUGGAAAGUUCACACUGUGACGGUAUCUUACCAGAAAGGGACGGCUAACUACGUG